UCCUGGCUCAGGAUGAACGCUAGCUACAGGCUUAACACAUGCAAGUCGAGGGGCAGCAUUGGGAUAGCUUGCUAUCCAGAUGGCGACCGGCGCACGGGUGAGUAACGCGUAUCCAACCUUCCCUAUAGUAGAGAAUAGCCCGGCGAAAGUCGGAUUAAUGCUCUAUGUUGUGUUUUGAGGACAUCUGACGAACACCAAAGGUUCACCGCUAUAGGAUGGGGAUGCGUCUGAUUAGCUUGUUGGCGGGGUAACGGCCCACCAAGGCGACGAUCAGUAGGGGUUCUGAGAGGAAGGUCCCCCACAUUGGUACUGAGACACGGACCAAACUCCUACGGGAGGCAGCAGUGAGGAAUAUUGGUCAAUGGGCGAGAGCCUGAACCAGCCAAGUAGCGUGCAGGAACCGACUGCCCUAUGGGUUGUAAACUGCUUUUAUCAGGGAAUAAAGUGCGGCACGUGUGCCGUUUUGUAUGUACCUGAUGAAUAAGGACCGGCUAAUUCCGUGCCAGCAGCGGC
rnacentral:rRNA from 1 species